AGAGAUGUAAUACAAAUACAUCAGUCUCACAGGUUGAAUGUGAUUACUUCUAUCCAGGACGUAUUGGUGUGUGCUAAUAAUCCACGGCAGAGCGUGAGCUACACGCAGCACAGAAUGCAGGGAGCUGUCCGGAGCUGUCACUGCGCCCACAGUCCAGGAGCCAAAGGAAACGGCACCCACCGAAGCCAGUUCUGCUGGCUUUCUCUGGUGAAUUCUGAGAGGAAAAAAGACAGGAGGGGCGGGGGAAGGAAGGAAGAAUGAAGAGAGACAGAGGGAGGGGGUGUAAACAACAACAAAGCACACCUCCAGUCCUAAAUUACAGCAGCCUGGGUGCGGAGGUGGGGCUCUGGUGUCGGUUUCCACAGCGCCACCUCCUCAGCAGCCCUGACAACACUCUUAAUAAUAGCUCAAGGGCCGAGCGCAGAGGAGUCCUGGACCGCCGGGGAGCCGGCUCCUCCAUUCUUAAAAACCCACCGGAAGGAGCGCCGCCGCUGUAUGAACCUUCUAUUUGAAAGAGUGAAUUGGAGCUUACACUCUUUCUUUGUUGGCGGUUUUAUUUUUCUCAACUUAAAAAUAAAUGCGUUAAAAUGCA